rnacentral:rRNA from 1 species
UAGCGUAGGGGGCAAGCGUUGUCCGGAAUCAUUGGGCGUAAAGAGCGUGUAGGCGGCUCGAUAAGUCUGCUGUGAAAGUCCAGGGCUCAACCCUGGAAGGCCGGUGGAAACUGUCGGGCUAGAGUCCGGAAGAGGCGAGUGGAAUUCCCGGUGUAGCGGUGAAAUGCGCAGAUAUCGGGAGGAACACCAAUGGCGAAGGCAGCUCGCUGGGACGGUACUGACGCUGAGACGCGAAAGCGUGGGGAGCAAACAGG